AUGAUAGUGAAGGAAGCUCGAUAUAUUGCCAUAACAAUGAUGAAGGUUUAUGAAAAUUAUUCAUUUGAAGAACUACGUUUUGCAUCACCAACUCCUAAGAGACCCAGUGAGAAUAUGCUGAUCCGUGUCAAUAAUGAUGGGACUUAUUGUGCAAAUUGGACUCCAGGGGCUAUUGGACUCUACACUAUUCAUGUUACCAUUGAUGGCAUUGAAAUCGGUAUUUUUUUUUUAAAGCCAUGAGCUACUACUUACUUCAAAUAACUAGAAUCAAAAUUAUUUUUAUCUUCUAGUUUUGCCCUUUAACUUGCGUUAUACAUAUGGAUAGGUUUCAUAACUUAUUUGAGGCCUUGUUUUCUCAUUCAUAAUGAGUAAUUAGUGCAUUAACAUUUUGUAAUAAUUUCUGGUGUCCAUCCAUGCAUUGUAGCCCUCAUGACUCCCUCCCUCCAUUCCCUGACGUGGCUAGUCAGGUGUGCUCUCUUCCACGCUGCUGUGUUACCCUGUCUCUCCCUUGUGGGUGUGUCUGUGCCUCUCCUGACUGAGCAG
rnacentral:sRNA from 1 species